UAAGGAAUAUUGGUCAAUGGACGGAAGUCUGAACCAGCCACGCCGCGUGGAGGAAGAAGGUUCUCUGGAUUGUAAACUCCUUUUGCCAAGGGCUAAGAGCGAGCUAUAGGCUUGUGUGAAAGUACUUGGUGAAUAAGCCACGGCUAACUACGUGCCAGCAGCCGCGGUAAUACGUAGGUGGCAAGCGUUGUCCGGAUUUACUGGGUUUAAAGGGUGCGUAGGCGGUUUGAUAAGUCAGUCGUUAAAGGCAGCAGCUUAACUGUUGUGCGGCGAUUGAUACUGUUAGACUUGAAUUACAGAGAGGUUGUUGGAAUGCGUAGUGUAGCGGUGAAAUGCUCAGAUAUUACGCAGAACGCCAAUUGCGAAGGCAGAUAACUAUUUGUAGAUUGACGCUGAUGCA
rnacentral:rRNA from 1 species